AUUGAAGUGGUGUAUGCAGAAUAACAUUAUCAUAGCUUUAGCGAAUAAACCUCUAAAUCUAAGGCAGUGGCGAUGAAUUCUGAGAAAACUCUUCUGGCGACUAUCAUCAUCUUUAUGCUAGUUCUAUCUCCGGCUGUUCCCACCAACGCCGCCGGACUGACUCGUCGAGAACUUGGGUUUAAGGAACCACCAUGUAACAAUUGCAACUGUUGCCAACCAAAUACACCGUCCUGUUGUGUUUGCGCUUGUGCCGUUCCGUUCGCCGCCGCCGUCGACCAGCCAUGACUUAAAGCAAAAUGCGGAGAAGAGACGACUUGUGUGAUGGAUUUCUACAUAAGAAUGAAAUAAGAAAAUAAUUUGCUCGUGCAAUUAAUGCUUUUGGCAAUAUGUUUUGGGUGAUUUGAAUUUUUAUAUGUGUGAAUAAUAUUGUUCCUAUUUUGAUUUGGUCUUCGUUUUCACUUUCUUGAAAAGUGCUUCA